UCAAGUGACUAAGUGCAUGUGGCGGAUGCCUUGGCGAUCACAGGCGAAGAAAGACGCGGCAGCCUGCGAAAAGCUGCGGGGAGCUGGCAAACGAGCUUUGAUCCGCAGAUAUCUGAAUGGGGGAACCCACACCGCAAGGUGUAUCCGUGACUGAAUACAUAGGUCACGGAGGCGAACGAGGAGAACUGAAACAUCUAAGUAUCCUCAGGAAAAGAAAUCAACCGAGAUUCCGGCAGUAGCGGCGAGCGAACCCGGAGGAGCCUAGCUUUUGAUAGUACGAACUUUAGCCGAAAGGUCCUGGAAAGGCCUGCUAUAGUGGGUGAUAGCCCCGUAGGCGAAAGAGUUCGUAUGGUACUAAGGAAGCGAGAAGUAGAGCGGGACACGUGGAAUCCUGUUCGAAGAUGGGGGGACCAUCCUCCAAGGCUAAAUACUCGUGAUCGACCGAUAGUGAACCAGUACCGUGAGGGAAAGGUGAAAAGAACCCCGGGAGGGGAGUGAAAUAGAACCUGAAACCGCAUGCAUACAAACAGUAGGAGCCUCACCAGAGGUGACUGCGUACCUUUUGCAUAAUGGGUCAGCGACUUACAUUCUGUGGCGAGCUUAACCGAAUAGGGGAGGCGCAGCGAAAGCGAGUUCGAAAUGAGCGUCCAGUCGCAGGGUGUAGACCCGAAACCAGAUGAGCUAUCCAUGGCCAGGUUGAAGGUGUGGUAACACACACUGGAGGACCGAACCGACUAGUGUUGCAAAAUUAGCGGAUGAGCUGUGGAUAGGGGUGAAAGGCCAAACAAAUCUGGAGAUAGCUGGUUCUCCCCGAAAACUAUUGAGGUAGUGCCUCGUGUGUCGCUCCAGGGGGUAGAGCACUGUUUUGGCUAGGGGGACAUGGAGUCUUACCAAACCAAGGCAAACUCCGAAUACCUGGAAGCGUAAGCACGGGAGACAGAGCACCGGGUGCUAACGUCCGGACUCAAAAGGGAAACAACCCAGACCGCCGGCUAAGGUCCCCAAUAACAGCUAAGUGGAAAACGAAGUGGAAAGGCCGUGACAACCAGGAAGUUGGCUUAGAAGCAGCCAUCCUUCAAAGAAAGCGUAAUAGCUCACUGGUCGAGUCCUUCUGCGCGGAAGAUGUAACGGGGCUAAGCUGUUAACCGAAGCCGCGGAUGCACUGAUUAUUCAGUGCGUGGUAGGGGAGCGUUCUGUAAGUCUGCGAAGGCGGUUCGAGAGGACUGCUGGAGAUAUCAGAAGUGCGAAUGCUGACAUGAGUAACGUUAAAGCAGGUGAAAAGCCUGCUCGCCGUAAGCCCAAGGAUUCCUGCUCUACGUUCAUCGGAGCAGGGUGAGUCGGCUCCUAAGGUCAGGCCGAAAGGCGUAGCCGAUGGGAAUCAGGUUAAUAUUCCUGAACCUGCGUCAGAUGCGAUGGGGGGACGGAGCAUGAAAGAUCAUCCGGGUGUUGGAAGUCCCGGUUGUUGAGCGUAGGAGGUCUGCAGGCAAAUCCGCAGACGCAUCUCCAAGGCGAAGUCACGUGCCGCCACGGCGGCGAAGUGAUCGGAAGUGCUUCCAAGAAAAGCCUCUAAGCACCAGUCUGACGCGGACCGUACCGCAAACCGACACUGGUGGGCGAGCUGAAUAUGCUCAGGCGCUUGAGAGAACUCGGGAGAAGGAACUCGGCAAAUUGACACCGUAACUUCGGGAGAAGGUGCGCCGGCGUAGAUUGUAGUCCCUUGCGGGCGAAGGUUGAACCGGUCGAAGAUACCAGCUGGCUGCAACUGUUUAUUAAAAACACAGCACUCUGCAAACACGAAAGUGGACGUAUAGGGUGUGAUGCCUGCCCGGUGCUGGAAGGUUAAUUGAUGGUGUAAUCGAAAGAGAAGCUCCUGAUCGAAGCCCCAGUAAACGGCGGCCGUAACUAUAACGGUCCUAAGGUAGCGAAAUUCCUUGUCGGGUAAGUUCCGACCUGCACGAAUGGCGUAACGACUUCCUGCUGCCAUGACAUGAGCGAGCCGUUUGUCAUGUAAUGUACUGUCUGCGGUUUUAAGAUCUGUUUUCCCUGAUAAGAACCUUCCUGCAGUAACAUGGCUGCAAACUUUGCGUAAUCGUCCAGUGUAGAGACCAGUCCUGCACCGCCAGAUUCAAACGCCGGUACCUGUUUCAUCGCAUUCAUGAUACCAAGAUGAUUUUCCGUAUAAAGUUCUAAUCCCUGUUCCGUCCUCUGGUAUACUUUUGCAAGGCGCUCCUGCUUGUUCUCUGGUACAUAAAAUGCAGUAUCUUCCAUGUCAAGUGGUUCAAAAAAUUCUUCUUUCAGAAAUUCGCCAAAAGUUUUUCCGCUGAUGACCUCAAUAACCGCCCCAAGCACAUCUGCAGAGGUUCCAUACUGGAAACUCUCUCCCGGCUGGAACUGAAGCGGUAUCAAUCCAAGACGGUUUGCAACCUCCUGCGUUGUCAUCGCAUCCUCCAGAUAUAAAUGUUCUUUGAUCCUGUCAAAGAGCUUUUCCGUCUCCAUGGAGCAGACACUUGUGACAUCCCCGCCGUACAUCAGACCGGAUGUCAUGUUAAGCAGAUCACAGAUCCUCA
rnacentral:rRNA from 1 species